GACGGAGGGUGCAAGCGUUGCUCGGAAUCACUGGGCGUAAAGGGUGCGUAGGCGGGUCUUUAAGUCAGGGGUGAAAUCCUGGAGCUCAACUCCAGAACUGCCUUUGAUACUGAAGAUCUUGAGUUCGGGAGAGGUGAGUGGAACUGCGAGUGUAGAGGUGAAAUUCGUAGAUAUUCGCAAGAACACCAGUGGCGAAGGCGGCUCACUGGCCCGAUACUGACGCUGAGGCACGAAAGCGUGGGGAGCAACAGGGAUUAAGAUAC
rnacentral:rRNA from 1 species